rnacentral:rRNA from 1 species
UGCAGUCGUACGCUUCUUUUUCCACCGGAGCUUGCUCCACCGGAAAAAGAGGAGUGGCGAACGGGUGAGUAACACGUGGGUAACCUGCCCAUCAGAAGGGGAUAACACUUGGAAACAGGUGCUAAUACCGUAUAACAAUCGAAACCGCAUGGUUUUGAUUUGAAAGGCGCUUUCGGGUGUCGCUGAUGGAUGGACCCGCGGUGCAUUAGCUAGUUGGUGAGGUAACGGCUCACCAAGGCCACGAUGCAUAGCCGACCUGAGAGGGUGAUCGGCCACAUUGGGACUGAGACACGGCCCAAACUCCUACGGGAGGCAGCAGUAGGGAAUCUUCGGCAAUGGACGAAAGUCUGACCGAGCAACGCCGCGUGAGUGAAGAAGGUUUUCGGAUCGUAAAACUCUGUUGUUAGAGAAGAACAAGGAUGAGAGUAACUGUUCAUCCCUUGACGGUAUCUAACCAGAAAGCCACGGCUAACUACGUGCCAGCAGCCGCGGUAAUACGUAGGUGGCAAGCGUUGUCCGGAUUUAUUGGGCGUAAAGCGAGCGCAGGCGGUUUCUUAAGUCUGAUGUGAAAGCCCCCGGCUCAACCGGGGAGGGUCAUUGGAAACUGGGAGACUUGAGUGCAGAAGAGGAGAGUGGAAUUCCAUGUGUAGCGGUGAAAUGCGUAGAUAUAUGGAGGAACACCAGUGGCGAAGGCGGCUCUCUGGUCUGUAACUGACGCUGAGGCUCGAAAGCGUGGGGAGCAAACAGGAUUAGAUACCCUGGUAGUCCACGCCGUAAACGAUGAGUGCUAAGUGUUGGAGGGUUUCCGCCCUUCAGUGCUGCAGCUAACGCAUUAAGCACUCCGCCUGGGGAGUACGACCGCAAGGUUGAAACUCAAAGGAAUUGACGGGGGCCCGCACAAGCGGUGGAGCAUGUGGUUUAAUUCGAAGCAACGCGAAGAAACCUUACCAGGUCUUGACAUCCUUUGACCACUCUAGAGAUAGAGCUUCCCCUUCGGGGGCAAAGUGACAGGUGGUGCAUGGUUGUCGUCAGCUCGUGUCGUGAGAUGUUGGGUUAAGUCCCGCAACGAGCGCAACCCUU